rnacentral:tRNA from 1 species
GGGGAUUUAGCUCAGUGGUAGAGCACUUGCCUAGCGAGCAUAAGGCCCUGGGUUCGGUCCCCAGCUCCG